rnacentral:rRNA from 1 species
CGAACGGGUGAGUAACGCUUCGGAAUCUACCCAGUAGUGGGGAAUAAACCAACCGAAAGGUUGGCUAAUGCCGCAUACGAACUACGGUUGAAAGCGGGGGAUCGCAAGACCUCGCGCUAUUGGAUGAGCCGAAGUCGGAUUAGCUAGUUGGUGAGGUAACGGCUCACCAAGGCGACAAUCCGUAGCUGGUCUGAGAGGACGACCAGCCACACUGGGACUGAGACACGGCCCAG